rnacentral:rRNA from 1 species
ACCAGGGAUUGCCUCAGUAACGGCGAGUGAAGCGGCAAAAGCUCAAAUUUGAAAUCUAGCACCUUCGGUGUUCGAGUUGUAAUUUGAAGAUGGUAACCUUGGGKUUGGCUCUUGUCUAUGUUCCUUGGAACAGGACGUCAUAGAGGGUGAGAAUCCCGUCUGAUGAGAUGCCCAUUCCUAUGUAAGGUGCUAUCGAAGAGUCGAGUUGUUUGGGAAUGCAGCUCUAAGUGGGUGGUAAAUUCCAUCUAAAGCUAAAUAUUGGGCAGAGACCGAUAGCGAACAAGUACAGUGAUGGAAAGAUGAAAAGAACUUUGAAAAGAGAGUGAAAAGUACGUGAAAUUGUUGAAAGGGAAGGGCAUUAGAUCAGACUUGGUGUUUUACGAUUAUCUUCUCUUCUUGAGUUGUGCACUCGUAUUUCACUGGGCCAGCAUCGAUUCGGAUGGCAAGAUAAUGGCAGUUGAAUGUGGCUUCACUUCGGUGGAGUGUUAUAGCUUCUGCUGAUAUUGCCUGUCUGGAUCGAGGGCUGCG